rnacentral:rRNA from 1 species
UACGUAGGUGGCAAGCGUUGUCCGGAAUUAUUGGGCGUAAAGCGCGCGCAGGUGGUUCUUAAGUCUGAUGUGAAAGCCCACGGCUCAACCGUGGAGGGUCAUUGGAAACUGGGGAACUUGAGUGCAGGAGAGAAGAGUGGAAUUCCACGUGUAGCGGUGAAAUGCGUAGAGAUGUGGAGGAACACCAGUGGCGAAGGCGGCAUCCUGGACCAAUUCUGACGCUGAGGAGCGAAAGCCAGGGGAGCAAACGGG